rnacentral:rRNA from 1 species
GACGAACGCUGGCGGCGUGCCUAAUACAUGCAAGUCGAACGCAUUUUCUUUCACCGUAGCUUGCUACACCGAAAGAAAAUGAGUGGCGAACGGGUGAGUAACACGUGGGUAACCUGCCCAUCAGCGGGGGAUAACACUUGGAAACAGGUGCUAAUACCGCAUAAUUCCAUUUACCGCAUGGUAGAUGGAUGAAAGGCGCUUUUGCGUCACUGAUGGAUGGACCCGCGGUGCAUUAGCUAGUUGGUGGGGUAACGGCCUACCAAGGCUGCGAUGCAUAGCCGACCGGAGAGGGUGAGCGGCCACACUGGGACUGAGACACGGCCCAGACUCCUACGGGAGGCAGCCGUAGGGAAUCUUCGGCCAUGGACACAAGUCUGACCGAGCAACGCCGCGUGAGUGAAGAAGGUUUUCGGAUCGUAAAACUCUGUUGUUAGAGAAGAACAAGGAUGAGAGUGGAAAGUUCAUCCCUUGACGGUAUCUAACCAGAAAGCCACGGCUAACUACGUG